rnacentral:rRNA from 1 species
GGUUAAGUUAGAAAGGGCGCACGGUGGAUGCCUUGGCACUAGGAGCCGAUGAAGGACGGGACAAACACCGAUAUGCUUCGGGGAGCUGUAAGUAAGCGUCGAUCCGGAGAUUUCCGAAUGGGGGAACCCACUGUCCGUAAUGGGACAGUAUCCAUACGUGAAUUCAUAGCGUAUGGAGGGCAUACCCGGGGAACUGAAACAUCUAAGUACCCGGAGGAGAAGAAAGCAAACGCGAUUCCCUGAGUAGCGGCGAGCGAAACGGGAACAGCCCAAACCAAGAGGCGUGCCUCUUGGGGUUGUAGGACACUCAACACGGAGUGACAAAGGAACGGAGUAGACGAAGCGGUCUGGAAAGGCCCGCCAGAGGAGGUAACAGCCCUGUAGUCGAAACUUCGUUCCCUCCUGAGUGGAUCCUGAGUACGGCGGGACACGUGAAAUCCCGUCGGAAGCAGGGAGGACCAUCUCCCAAGGCUAAAUACUCCCUAGUGACCGAUAGUGAACCAGUACCGUGAGGGAAAGGUGAAAAGCACCCCGGGAGGGGAGUGAAAGAGAACCUGAAACCGUGUGCCUACAAGUAGUCAGAGCGCAUUCAUGCGUGAUGGCGUGCCUUUUGUAGAAUGAACCGGCGAGUUACGGUGGCGUGCGAGGUUAAGUCGAAAAGACGGAGCCGUAGCGAAAGCGAGUCUGAAUAGGGCGUAUAGUACGUCGCCGUAGACCCGAAACCAGGUGAUCUACCCAUGUCCAGGGUGAAGGUAGGGUAACACCUACUGGAGGCCCGAACCCACGCACGUUGAAAAGUGCGGGGAUGAGGUGUGGGUAGGGGUGAAAUGCCAAUCGAACUUGGAGAUAGCUGGUUCUCCCCGAAAUAGCUUUAGGGCUAGCCUCAAGAAAAGAGUCUUGGAGGUAGAGCACUGAUUGGGCUAGGGGCCCUCAUCGGGUUACCGAACUCAGUCAAACUCCGAAUGCCAAAGACUUAUGCUUGGGAGUCAGACUACGAGUGAUAAGAUCCGUGGUCAAAAGGGAAACAGCCCAGAUCACCAGCUAAGGUCCCAAAGUAUACGUUAAGUGGAAAAGGAUGUGGAGUUGCCCAGACAACCAGGAUGUUGGCUUAGAAGCAGCCACCAUUUAAAGAGUGCGUAAUAGCUCACUGGUCGAGUGACUCUGCGCCGAAAAUGUACCGGGGCUAAACGUAUCACCGAAGCUGUGGGAUGACUUGCGUCAUCGGUAGGGGAGCGUUCUAAGGGCAGAGAAGCCGGACCGGAAGGACCGGUGGAGCGCUUAGAAGUGAGAAUGCCGGUAUGAGUAGCGAAAACAGAGGUGAGAAUCCUCUGCACCGAAAGCCUAAGGUUUCCUGAGGAAGGCUCGUCCGCUCAGGGUUAGUCGGGACCUAAGCCGAGGCCGAAAGGCGUAGGCGAUGGACAACAGGUAGAGAUUCCUGUACCACCUCCUCUCCGUUUGAGCGAUGGGGGACGCAGGAGGAUAGGGCAAGCGCGCGACUGGUAGUGCGCGUCCAAGCAGUUAGGCGCCUCAAGUAGGCAAAUCCGCUUGAGUAGGCUGAGCUGUGACGGCGAGGGAAAACUAGUACCGAAGUUCCUGAUUCCACACUGCCAAGAAAAGCCUCUAGCGAGGAGAGAGGUGCCCGUACCGCAAACCGACACAGGUAGGCGAGGAGAGAAUCCUAAGGUGCGCGGGAGAACUCUCGUUAAGGAACUCGGCAAAAUGACCCCGUAACUUCGGGAGAAGGGGUGCUCUGUUGGGUGAAAAGCCCGAGAGAGCCGCAGUGAAAAGGCCCAAGCGACUGUUUAACAAAAACACAGGUCUCUGCGAAGCCGAAAGGCGAAGUAUAGGGGCUGACACCUGCCCGGUGCUGGAAGGUUAAGGGGAGCGCUUAGCGCAAGCGAAGGUGCGAACCGAAGCCCCAGUAAACGGCGGCCGUAACUAUAACGGUCCUAAGGUAGCGAAAUUCCUUGUCGGGUAAGUUCCGACCCGCACGAAAGGUGUAACGACUUGGGCACUGUCUCAACGAGAGACCCGGUGAAAUUAUAGUACCUGUGAAGAUGCAGGUUACCCGCGACAGGACGGAAAGACCCCGUGGAGCUUUACUGCAGCCUGAUAUUGAAUUUUGGUACGACAUGUACAGGAUAGGUGGGAGACGGAGAAGCCGGGACGCCAGUCUCGGUGGAGUCGCCCUUGGGAUACCACCCUUGUCGUACUGAAGUUCUAACCCGCACCCCUGAUCGGGGUGGGAGACAGUGUCAGGUAGGCAGUUUGACUGGGGCGGUCGCCUCCUAAAGCGUAACGGAGGCGCCCAAAGGUUCCCUCAGAAUGGUUGGAAAUCAUUCGUAGAGUGUAAAGGCAGAAGGGAGCUUGACUGCGAGACCUACAAGUCGAGCAGGGACGAAAGUCGGGCUUAGUGAUCCGGUGGUUCCGUAUGGAAGGGCCAUCGCUCAACGGAUAAAAGCUACCCGGGGAUAACAGGCUUAUCUCCCCAAGAGUCCACAUCGACGGGGAGGUUUGGCACCUCGAUGUCGGCUCAUCGCAUCCUGGGGCUGUAGUCGGUCCCAAGGGUUGGGCUGUUCGCCCAUUAAAGCGGUACGCGAGCUGGGUUCAGAACGUCGUGAGACAGUUCGGUCCCUAUCCGUCGCGGGCGUAGGAAAUUUGAGAGGA